rnacentral:rRNA from 1 species
AUUGAACGCUGGCGGCAUGCCUUACACAUGCAAGUCGAACGGUAACAGGUCUUCGGAUGCUGACGAGUGGCGAACGGGUGAGUAAUACAUCGGAACGUGCCUAGUAGUGGGGGAUAACUACUCGAAAGAGUGGCUAAUACCGCAUGAGAUCUACGGAUGAAAGCAGGGGAUCGCAAGACCUUGUGCUACUAGAGCGGCCGAUGGCAGAUUAGGUAGUUGGUGGGAUAAAAGCUUACCAAGCCGACGAUCUGUAGCUGGUCUGAGAGGACGAUCAGCCACACUGGGACUGAGACACGGCCCAGACUCCUACGGGAGGCAGCAGUGGGGAAUUUUGGACAAUGGGCGAAAGCCUGAUCCAGCAAUGCCGCGUGCAGGAUGAAGGCCUUCGGGUUGUAAACUGCUUUUGUACGGAACGAAAAGCCCCGGGUUAAUACCCUGGGGUCAUGACGGUACCGUAAGAAUAAGCACCGGCUAACUACGUGCCAGCCGCCGCCAGUAA